AACUUAGGUCACCCACGUUAACUUAGGACGUUUCUGUUGACUAACUUUGGGCGUUCUAUUUAUUAAAAUUUGAAAGUCAUAAAUGCUGGGCUUAAAAGAAAAGAAUCUCUCAGAACCUGAAAUGAAAAUUUAGCAUUAUAUGACAGUUUUGAGAAAAAUGAUUCAGAGUUCUUUAAAAAUUAAACUUCCCAAAUGAUUCUAGAUUGAAUUAUAUUCUGAAUACCUAAUAUCUGCAGAUUACUGUUUUAGAUGCUAUAGAGACAAAAAGUAGGUAUAUUAGCCUUCUAAUCCUUAAAGAAUCUGUAGUCCAAUUGGGGAAGUAAGCACAAGGCAGGUGAAAAAGAGAAAUAAUAAAACAAAGCAGCAUACAAUAAAUUUCCAAAUGACUAAUGCCAAUAAUCAGAGAUAUGUGUGCAAUUAGAUAACAAUAACUGAGUUAGAGCCAUCUAGAAAGAAAUCGUACUUGAUGUGAGUCUUGCAGAAGGGAAUAAUUUGGAUAAAACAGGAGAAUAAUUGGUGUAUAAAGGAGAAAGAAGAGUGGAGCAAAAACAUAGGUGUAGAUAAGCUUCAGAGAAAUUUAGGAAGCAGGGAUCAGACUCCCCCGGCUGUAGCAGAGGAACCCUGGGAGGACAACGAGGACUUGGAGGGAAUGAAGGUUGAAGUGAGACAAACAAGAACAUGAAUGCAAAGCCAUGGAGUUCAGACCUCCUCCCACAGACAAACUUCUGUACAAGGGCUGAAGACAGGACAAGAUGUGCUGAUGUAUAAAAAGUCUAAAUCUGCAGCAUAAUCGUGAAGAGAUGAGGAAAGCCACGUACUCAGAGCCUCACUUAAAGGAAAUGAAACAGUAAAACUGAAUCAGAUUUGGCUCUUCACUUCUGCCUUCAGUGCUGUCCAGACUCAGACAUUAUAUCAGUAGGUUUCAGUUUUACUAACCAAUAAGUUCUUUGUGUACUUAAAGUUGGUUGUUUUUUAAUGGGGAUGUGGAAUGGAGGGGUAAAUAUUUUGUGUUUUUUAAUGAGGAAUCCCAAACACUAGAGUUUUUUCUUUAUAUUGCAAAGGCACUGAUGCCCCUUCUCACAAAAUAUUUCAUGCUUCAGUAUUGGCCUAAAGUUGACUAUCUUUAUAUAAAUUAAAAUCUUCUCAUGUUUUAGUGGUGUUUUAGAAGAUCUUGACAUGUUACUUUUUGAAUUAAAGUGAAACGCAUAGCAUAUGGACUCAACAAAACCAUUCUCUGUGAAUAAAAUGUGUCACAUUCUAUAAUAAAACUAUAUAUAGCAUGUUAUUCCAUAUUCUGUAUGAUUAAUUUUAGAGAUUAUAUCUUGAAUUCUGCUAUCAAUCUACAAUGUUUAUUCAUUCAUUCAACAAAUAUUUGUUAAGAACUACUAUGUGUCAAGUACCUAGUUUGCAACAGUGAAUAAACAGAUAUUCUUGAGUUUGUGAAGUUUAUUAUAUUCAAGAGACAGAAAUAUAGAUAGUACACAAUUAACAUAACACCUAAGAAAAGAAUUUAAUAUGUAAUAAGAUCAUAAGUACAAUGAGAAAAAAUGCAUCACAGUAAGGAGACUGGGGAGAGUUUGCAAUGUGAAUCAUGUGGUCAGAGUGAGUCUCAUUGAAAAGUUAACAUUAGAACAAAGACUGGGAGAAGACGCAGUUGUGAGUCAUCUGUGUUCUGCAGCGGGAACGGCAAGUACAAAGGCUCUGAGGAAGGAGGGCGCCUGGAGUGUUUGCAGCAGUGUGAGGAGGUCAGCUUAAAAGUAGAAAUGAGAAGAAGAAUAGAUGAUAGGAUCAGCUGGCUAUGCAAUUUGCAGUGCAAAAUAAAUUUGUGGGGACUCUUGUUAAAAUUUCUUUCUCUUUUUUUAUUAUACUUUAAGUUCUGGGGUACGUGUGCACAACAUGCAGGUUUGUUACAUAGGUAUACAUGUGCCGUGUUGGUUUGCUGCACCCAUCAACUCAUCAUUUACAUUAGGUAUUUCUCCUAAUGCUAUCCCUCCCCCAGGCCCCCACCUCCCAACAGGCCCCAGUGUGUGAUGUUCCCCUCCUUGUGUCCAUGUGUUCUCAUUGUUCAACUCCCACUUAUGAGUGAGAACAUGCAGUAUUUGGUUUUCUGUCCUUGUGAUAGUUUGCUGAGAAUGAUGGUUUCCAGUUUCAUCCAUGUCCCUGGAAAGGACAUGAACUCAUCCUUUUUUAUGGUUGCAUAGUAUUCCAUGGUGUAUAUGUGCCACAUUUUCUUAAUCCAGUCUAUCAUUGAUGGACAUUUGGCUUGGUUCCAAGUCUUUGCUAUUGCGAAUAGUGCCACAAUAAACAUACGUGUGCAUGUGUCUUUAUAGCAGCAUGAUUUAUAAUCCUUUGGGUAUAUGCCCAGUAAUAGGAUGGCUGGGUCAAAUGGUAUUUCUAGUUCUAGAUCCUUGAGGAAUUGCCACACUGUCUUCCACAAUGGUUGAACUAGUUUACAAUCCAACCAACAGUGUAAGAGUGUUCCUAUUUCUCCACAUCCUCUCCAGUACCUGUUGUUUCCUGACUUUUUGAUGAUCACCAUUCUAACUGGGGUGAGAUGGUAUCUCAUUGUGGUUUUGAUUUGCAUUUCUCUGAUGGCCAGUGAUGACGAGCAUUUUUUCAUGUGUCUGUUGGCUGCAUAAAUGUCUUCUUUUGAGAAGUGUCUGUUCAUAUCCUUCUCCCACUUGUUGAUGGGGUUGUUUGUUUUUUUCUUGUAAAUUUGUUUGAGUUCUUUGUAGAUUCUGGAUAUUAGCC
rnacentral:lncRNA from 1 species